GGAUGGCGAACCCUGUGCCCAUGGAGAUGCCAUGUGUGCCAGGGCAGGAACUGCUGCAGAGGAGGUGGCACGAGCAGGAGCAGCGCUUGGAUUCACUGCACUGAGCACAGGUUGUUGCCUGCCUGCUCUGAAGAAGUGUGCAGAGACCUUUUCACCAGAGGAAGAAACUGAUGUAACCAGCUACAAAUCUGCACCACCUCAAGGAGGAUCCAUGAGCCUGUGGCCACAGCAGGGCCCAACUGCAGCAGCCAGAGGCUUGCCAAGAAAAACAGGGUUUAACCUGGUUUUGGAGUGGGCGCGACCCAGAUUUACUUCCCACAAGACUGCACAGGUGUCUGCAGUGACCCACAAAAUGCAUUCUCCCUGCUUGAUCCAUCCUGUUACGUGA
rnacentral:lncRNA from 14 species